rnacentral:tRNA from 1 species
UAGAGUAUAGUGAAAUCAGGUAGCACGAAGAAAUUUGAAUUCUUAUGAGUAGGUUCGAUUCCUAUUACUCUAG